CGCGCAGGUGGCGGUGUUGGCCCGGCGUGAAAGCCCCCGGCUCAACCGGGGAGGGUCGUCGGGGACCGCACCGCUUGAGGGCGGUAGGGGCUGGUGGAAUGCCUGGUGUAGUGGUGAAAUGCGUAGAGAUCAGGCGGAACACCCGUAGCGAAGGCGGCCAGCUGGGCCGUCCCUGACACUGAGGCGCGAAGGCGUGGGGAGCGAAG
rnacentral:rRNA from 1 species